rnacentral:rRNA from 1 species
UACGUAGGGUGCGAGCGUUGUCCGGAAUUAUUGGGCGUAAAGGGCUCGUAGGCGGUCUGUCGCGUCGGGAGUGAAAACUCAGGGCUUAACCCUGAGCCUGCUUCCGAUACGGGCAGACUAGAGGUAUGCAGGGGAGAACGGAAUUCCUGGUGUAGCGGUGGAAUGCGCAGAUAUCAGGAGGAACACCGGUGGCGAAGGCGGUUCUCUGGGCAUUACCUGACGCUGAGGAGCGAAAGUGUGGGGGAGCGAACAGG